CACGUAGGCACCAAGCGUUAUCCGGAUUUAUUGGGCGUAAAGAGCUCGUAGGCGGUUCGGUAAGUCGGGUGUGAAACUCUGGGCUCAACCCAGAGAGGCCACCCGAUACUGCUGUGACUAGAGUGCGGUAGGGGAGCGGGGAAGUUCCCGGUGUAGCGGUGAAAUGCGCAGAUAGUCGGGAGGAACACCAAUGGCGAAGGCAGCUCGCUGGGACGGUACGUGACGCUGAGACGCGAAAGCGGUGGGGAG
rnacentral:rRNA from 1 species